AUGGUCUUAAUGAUAGUGUUCCUACUGUAUCAGUUAAUAUUAUUUCAAAUUCACAUUAAAACUUGAAUUAUUAUAUUCUACUAAUAUUGAUUAUUGCAAACAUCAUGCUCAAUGUACCUUUUUUCCGUAAAGCACAACACAAGUUUAAAAUAAGAUUAUUUAUACGUAACUUCACAAGUCUAGGCAGGAGGGAAGAAGGAGGCAAUGACAUCGCCACCACAUCAGUGGAGAAGAGGGAGAGGCGCAUCUAAGUCUCCUUGAUCGGAUAAUUGACGAAGUAAGAAAUAUCAUAAUAUUAGGAUGCACUGUAUCUGUUGUUGUGGGUACACCUGGCUUCCUAUAUAUGUCAAUAGCCUUACAAUUUAGCUUACAUAUUAUGUGUUGAUCAUAGUAUUUCAAUUAUUGGCUUACAAGGGGGUACUCUGCUAAAUUAAACUACAAGCUUUGUUUGCGAGAUGUUUGAUCAUACAAGGCGUUUCGGUGUCUGAUCUUAAAUUGAAACCUAGAUGCCAUGCUCUCCGUAACUAGUUUACUUUCACGAACUUUGUCUUUUGGAUUAAAUAUUAUUUUAAUAAUCGGUAUUUAAUUUCACGGUAUUAUUAUUUUAUCGUGUGAUCCAUAUAUUUUUAGUAGAAAAAUUUAGCUAUCUCGUAGCAACACACGGGCAUGCUACCUAGUCCUCUAUUAAAGAUAAAGAUUGGAUGUCAUGAGAUGGCAAGAGCCGGAUCCCUUGGUGCAGUUUCGUCUAUGAAAGAUUGGACGUCAUGAGUGGCAAGUUAGCUAGCUAUAAAAACAACAAAAAUAACUAACUCCUCUAAAAAAAAUCAAUAACUUAUAUGUAGGAGGAACACCCCUUGCAGAAAAGGGGUAGCUUUCUAAAAGAAAUCAUGAUAAUGUUGUUUGACCAAAGCUAGCAAGGUAAUAAAGCAAAUGCUUCCUUUUUAUAGCUUUCGGUAAUAUAAUGUACUAGUAGUAGCUUGCAUGUAGAUGUAGAUCCAUGCGUGCAACAAUCGAGUAUGCAUUGCGUGCGACACUCACAGUGCAUGGUGCACAGAAGUACGCGAUCAGCAU
rnacentral:lncRNA from 1 species